rnacentral:tRNA from 1 species
GCCGAUGUAGCUCAGUUGGUAGAGCAGCGCACUUGUAAUGCGAAGGUCGCCAGUUCGAUUCCGGCCGUCGGCACCA